UGGGGAAUUUUGGACAAUGGGCGCAAGCCUGAUCCAGCAAUGCCGCGUGUGUGAAGAAGGCCUUCGGGUUGUAAAGCACUUUUGUCCGGAAAGAAAUCCGUCUGGCUAAUACCCGGACGGGAUGACGGUACCGGAAGAAUAAGCACCGGCUAACUACGUGCCAGCAGCCGCGGUAAUACGUAGGGUGCGAGCGUUAAUCGGAAUUACUGGGCGUAAAGCGUGCGCAGGCGGCUUUGUAAGACAGAUGUGAAAUCCCCGGGCUCAACCUGGGAACUGCAUUUGUGACUGCAAGGCUAGAGUGCGUCAGAGGGAGGUGGAAUUCCGCGUGUAGCAGUGAAAUGCGUAGAUAUGCGGAGGAACACCGAUGGCGAAGGCAAUCCCCUGGGCCUGCACUGACGCUCAUGCACGAAAGCGUGGGGAGCAAACA
rnacentral:rRNA from 1 species